GCCUGAGUGGCACAGCGGUUGAGCGUCUGCCUUCGGCUCAGGGCGUGAUCCUGGCGUUGUGGGAUCGAGCCCCACAUCAGGCU
rnacentral:tRNA from 1 species